rnacentral:rRNA from 1 species
GUUAGGAAUCUUGCGCAAUGGGCGAAAGCCUGACGCAGCCAUGCCGCGUGAAUGAUGAAGGUCUUAGGAUUGUAAAAUUCUUUCAGUGGGGAAGAUAAUGACUGUACCCACAGAAGAAGCUCCGGCUAACUUCGUGCCAGCAGCCGCGGUAAUACGAAGGGGGCUAGCGUUGCUCGGAAUUACUGGGCGUAAAGGGCGCGUAGGCGGACAGUUCAGUCGGGGGUGAAAGCCCGGGGCUCAACCCCGGAACUGCCUUCGAUACUGGCUGUCUUGAGUACGGGAGAGGUGUGUGGAACUCCGAGUGUAGAGGUGAAAUUCGUAGAUAUUCGGAAGAACACCAGUGGCGAAGGCGACACACUGGCCCGUUACUGACGCUGAGGCGCGAAAGCGUGGGGAGCAAACAGGAUUAGAUACCCUUGUAGUCC